rnacentral:rRNA from 1 species
UACGUAGGUGGCAAGCGUUGUCCGGAAUUACUGGGUGUAAAGCGCGUGUAGGCGGGAGGCCAAGUCUGCUGUGAAAUCGCUCGGCUCAACUGGGCGGGGUCGGUGGAAACUGGUCACCUGGAGGACGGUAGAGGCGAGUGGAAUUCCCGGUGUAGUGGUGAAAUGCGUAGAGAUCGGGAGGAACACCAGUGGCGAAGGCGGCUUUCUGGUCUGUAACUGACGCUGAGGCGCGAAAGCGUGGGGAGCAAACAGG